CAUUCACGGAGAGUUUGAUCCUGGCUCAGGACGAACGCUGGCGGCGUGCUUAACACAUGCAAGUCGAACGAUGAAGCCUUUCGGGGUGGAUUAGUGGCGAACGGGUGAGUAACACGUGGGCAAUCUGCCCUUCACUCUGGGACAAGCCCUGGAAACGGGGUCUAAUACCGGAUA
rnacentral:rRNA from 1 species